GAAUAGUGGGUAGUGAGUUAUCUUGAUUGUUCACAGUCUGUUGCAGAUCGAACUUCUUGUUCUACUCUUCCUCCCUUUCUCACUACUAUACUUGACUAGUCUUUA
rnacentral:Y_RNA from 1 species